AACGAACGUUGGCGGUGUGGAUUAGGCAUGCAAGUCGCGCGUGAAAGCCUUCGGGUGAGUUAAGCGGCGAACGGGUGAGUAACACGUAAUCAACCUACCCCUGAGACUGGAAUAGCCACUGGAAACGGUGGGUAAUGCCGGAUGGUCUGGCGCGGAGGCAUCUCUGUGAUAGUAAACGGUCCGCUGCUCAGGGAGGGGACCGCGGGCUAUUAGCUUGUUGGUGGGGUAAUGGCCUACCAAGGCGAUGAUGGCUAGCGGGUCUGAGAGGAUGAUCCGUCACACUGGGACUGAGACACUGCCCAGACUCCUACGGGAGGCUGCAGUCGAGAAUCUUCCGCAAUGGGCGAAAGCCUGACGGAGCGACACCGCGUGUAGGAUGAAGGCCCUCGGGUUGUAAACUACUGUCACGCUAUAGGAACAGCUCUUCGGAGCCUGACCAAAGCGAGAGGAAGCACCGGCUAACUCCGUGCCAGCAGCCGCGGUAAGACGGAGGGUGCAAACGUUGUUCGGAAUCGCUGGGCAUAAAGCGCACGUAGGCGGCCCGUUAAGUCCGAUGUGAAAGUCCAUGGCUCAACCAUGGAAGUGCAUUUGAAACUG
rnacentral:rRNA from 1 species